UAAUACGUAGGGGGCAAGCGUUGUCCGGAAUCAUUGGGCGUAAAGCGCGUGUAGGCGGCCCGAUAAGUCCGCUGUGAAAGUCCAGGGCUCAACCCUGGAAUGCCGGUGGAUACUGUCGGGCUAGAGUCCGGAAGAGGCGAGUGGAAUUCCUGGUGUAGCGGUGAAAUGCGCAGAUAUCAGGAGGAACACCAAUGGCGAAGGCAGCUCGCUGGGACGUGACUGACGCUGAGACGCGAAAGCGUGGGGAGCAAACAGGAUUAGAUACCCUGGUAGUCCACGCCGUAAACGAUGGACACUAGGUGUGGGGGGUGUCGACUCCCCCCGUGCCGAAGCUAACGCAUUAAGUGUCCCGCCUGGGGAGUACGGCCGCAAGGCUA
rnacentral:rRNA from 1 species